rnacentral:rRNA from 1 species
UACGUAGGGUGCGAGCGUUGUCCGGAAUUAUUGGGCGUAAAGAGCUACGUAGGCGGUCUGUCGCGUCGAUCGUGAAAACUUGGGGCUUCAACCCUGAGCUUGGCGGUCGAUACGGGCAUGACUGGAAGUUCGGCAGGGGAGACUGGAAUUCCGUGGUGUAGCGGUGGAAUGCGCAGAUAUCAGGAGGAACACCGGUGGCGAAGGCGGGUCGUCUGGGCAGUAACUGACGCUGAGGAGCGAAAGCGUGGGGAGCGAACAGG